GCCGGGGUGAUGGAACUGGUAGACGUGCCGGACUCAAAAUCCGGUGCCUGAAAGGGCGUGGGGGUUCGAUUCCCCCCCCCGGCACCA
rnacentral:tRNA from 16 species